GUAGGUGGCAAGCGUUGUCCGGAAUUAUUGGGCGUAAAGCGCGCGCAGGCGGGUUCUUUAAGUCUGAUGUGAAAGCCCACGGGCUCAACCGCGGAGGGUCAUUGGAAACUGGAGAACUUGAGUACAGAAGAGGAAAGCGGAAUUCCACGUGUAGCGGUGAAAUGCGUAGAGAUGUGGAGGAACACCAGUGGCGAAGGCGGCUUUCUGGUCUGUAACUGACGCUGAGGCGCGAAAGCGUGGGGAGCAAACAGGAUUAGAUACCCUGGUAGUCCACGCCGUAAACGAUGAGUGCUAAGUGUUAGGGGGUUUCCGCCCCUUAGUGCUGCAGCUAACGCAUUAAGCACUCCGCCUGGGGAGUACGGCCGCAAAGGCUG
rnacentral:rRNA from 1 species